UUAUAACGUGGUGCAUGUGGUGGAAUUUAUUUUAUUUUAAGUUUUAAAUAAAAUACUUUCUAGGGUCAGCACCUCACAGCACCUCCCGUACUUCGCCAUCUCCGGAAACAAGUUCACGGAAAACUCACCAUAAUCACUGUACAAUAUAUAUCACUCUCACACUCUUCCUCUUCCAAAUCCUCUCCUGACUUCAAACCUUCCUCACCUUCUUCUUUUUCAUUCUAAUCAUAUUAUUUUUAUUUUUCUCAAACCACUGUCAGACAUUCUAACAAAACAACACCAACUCCUCCAUUAAUCGCUUUGCAGUAUCUGAAAAACUUUUCUUUCAAUUGGUUUAUGGGAAGAUCCGGUUGAUCCGAUCCUCAUGGGAGCGAUUUAGCCAAAAACCAUGGUCAUAGACUGUUUUCUUAAACAUUGCGCGGAGUGAUGGAAAUCAUUCAUAUCUAUGCCCUCUGAUGACUUGGGCUUUGGGCACCAGAAGAUAGCUCCAGGAACCGCUCAAUCACAUGCUUCUAAAACAAAUCAAGCUCUUGCUCCAUGCUUGAACCCUCCAUGGAGUGAACCUGAACCCCACGAAGAUUCAGAACAGAACAUUGAAAUUCUGUCGUAGUACGCAUUCUCACACUCAAGGUUUUCAACAGCUGUUAUAGUUUCGUCACGAUCCUUAGUACUAUGAGAAAUUAUGAACAAAGGCGACAGAUUCAACCAAUUAUAGCAACUCCAAAAACCUUUUAAGUUGUAGCCAAAAUCACGAUCGAACAAAUUUUCGUAACCUUGCUUACCCACACAGGAAGAUUACAGACCCAAUUGUCAAAAAAUAAAUUGAAUUGAAAAGUAUGACACUUUCUCUCCAAGUUUUCAGCUUUAGUGAGAGACAAUGGAAUUGAACUCCCCAAGAACGAGAAAUUCCACUACAAAAAGGGAAAGUGCAGAACUUUGAAUUGGGAGAACCCAUAAACGAAAUUCGAAUAGGAAUGGAACCCAAUUGAAAACGAGGGAGUGGAUUGAGAAUGUGGGAAAAAGUGAGAAACUUGGAAGAGGAAUGAGACAAAGGAUCGAAGAAAGGAAGAAGAAAAGAAU
rnacentral:sRNA from 1 species